GCGGGAUUAACUCAGUGGUAGAGUGUCACCUUGCCAAGGUGAAAGUCGCGAGUGCGAAUCUCGUAUCCCGCUCCA
rnacentral:tRNA from 1 species